rnacentral:rRNA from 1 species
UACAGAGGUCUCAAGCGUUGUUCGGAUUCAUUGGGCGUAAAGGGUGUGUAGGUGGCGCCGUAAGUCGGGUGUGAAAUUUCGGAGCUUAACUCCGAAACUGCAUUCGAUACUGCCGUGCUUGAGGACUGGAGAGGAGACUGGAAUUUACGGUGUAGCGGUGAAAUGCGUAGAUAUCGAUAAGGAAGACCAGUGGCGAAGGCGGGUCUCUGGACAGUUCCUGACGCUGAGGCACGGAAGGUCAGGGGAGCAAACGGG